rnacentral:tRNA from 1 species
UGGGAUGUAACUCAGUGAGAAAGUGCUUGCCUAGCAUGCAUGAAGCCCUGGGUUCAAUCCCCAGUACUACAA